CGAACGGGUGAGUAACGCGUGAGGAACCUGCCUCAAAGAGGGGGACAACAGUUGGAAACGACUGCUAAUACCGCAUAAGCCCACGGCUCGGCAUCGAGCAGAGGGAAAAGGAGUGAUCCGCUUUGAGAUGGCCCCGCGUCCGAUUAGCUGGUUGGUGAGGUAACGGCCCACAAGGCGACGAUCGGUAGCCGGACUGAGAGGUUGAACGGCCACAUUGGGACUGAGACACGGCCCAG
rnacentral:rRNA from 1 species